CACGCAAAGGCCAGCAGUUACUACAAGAGGAGCGCUGGGGAUGUGACAGACCCGAGACAGGGGGAUGUGUCCCAGCCGGCUGCGCUUGGCACGACGCAGAAAACUGAGCUGAUGUCUUGUCUCCUUUCCCGCGCCCAAACCCCACCACUUGCAGGUUUCUAGUGGGUUUUUUUGACAUUCCCUGCUGGCAAAGGGGGAUGGAGACAGGAGAUUGGGCCUGAGCACCUUCAUCGACAGAGAAAUCUCCAUCAAACAUCACAAGGGACACAAGCAGGAUGUUGACACCUCAUGACUUGUACCCAUGGAUGAAGGGGAUGGUGAGCACUAAGAAAAUGCAAAUGCAGCUGAGGAUUAGCAAAAGCAAUUAUGAAAAACAAGUAGUGGAAAUAAUGAUUCAUCAGGAAUUGAAUCUGAUGUUGAGCCCAGUCCUGCACUCAGUGGACAGCUCAGGACCCUGGAAAACAAAUCCUUCUCUCCCCAC